GGCCGUCGGACCACCUCCGUUCGGACCCCUGCUGUCCCCUAUCUCAUUCUGGGCUGGUGACCGCGCCUGGGACGCCACCGAUUGAAAGGAAUCCCGUCCGAGCUGCCGACUGCUCCUUCGCCGGAGCUCCUACCUCCGGCCACCAUAGCUCAUGUAACUUGGCUCAUCUAGUAGCUCUCAUCAAGGUUAGUGAUCCCUCAAAAGGAAUCGACUUAAUUCGAUCUUGGUGUGGAGAUAUGUUUAAUUGAAAUUCUAGGGAUUUAUGGAGGUUUUGGUUCGAUUACCCUAGUUAAACUUAGAAUUGGACUAAGUGCUAGUUAUGAAAGUUGUUGUGCUUGAUGAGAUGAUUAUUCUGUUAAAUUUUGGGAGGCAAUGGACGCCGCCUGAGUACGGCCGCCGGCCGCCGCUGCCGGCGGAGCAAGCGGUGGCGCCGGCACUUGGAGGUUUUUUUUUCAGGUUUUUGAGUUUGUUAUAAUGAGAGGAGUCUAAUGAAGUAUAGUUUGGAAUUUUUGGAGGAGUUUUGUUAAGGUUUGAGAUUUUUAAAAUAUUAAGGAUUUGCCGGUUAUUAGAAUGAAAAUCCGGCCGUUGAAUUUCCUUGGUAUUUAGCCUGGAAUGUUAGAAUUGAUGAUUUGAGGUUGUGGUGGAGUUUGAUGUGAAUCCGGUGAGUUUAACCCUAAUAAGAGUAGAGGGUUAAACGGAAGAGAGUUAUAUAUUUUUAUUCACGUAAUUAUUUUCCGGAAUUAAAGUUUGGUCCUAAGCAUGGUUGUUGUGCCAGGAUUCGAGGAGACCCCACUUGAGUGGUGAUUCGGAAUUCGUCAGGCUUAGGCCUAAAUCUGUGAGUGGACAUUUUGGUUUUUAUUUAAUAUGCAUGCAAGAUUUUCUAAAUUAGUAUUUUAUUUUCCGAGCAUAUAUUAUAACUUCGGCAUAUGAAAUGAUCUUGGAAAUUAUUUGAGAUUGAUGCAUGCAUUAAAUGUUGGUCAUAAUUUAUGGAUUUGAGCUCGAACUGAUAAUUUGAGAUUUGAGUUUGGAUUUUCUUUAUGAUUUCCGGAUUUGAGAUUAUAUCCAGAUUUGCAUAUUGCCUGGUUUUCGAAAGGUGAAAAUUAUUUAAAUUAAUUAUUUCAUCGAGCAUUCUAACGUGUGGGACACGUCAUCGAAUUUAAUUAUUUUCUUUACUCU
rnacentral:lncRNA from 1 species